UGGGUGUCUAGUAUUUUGGUUAGGGGGUUAGACACAUACAUAUUUCCUGUAGAGAGUCAAAAGUUUCUAGUUAGAUUUUGUAAUCAGACUUAACCAAUUUGUUUAGAGGUUUCAUUUUUAAACAAAUUAGGCUCCCACUAUUUUCUCAGAUCUCUACACUCCCUAGGUAGAGAUGUGAAAAUCUUCGUGAUUAGUGAUUUCUAGUGGGUGGUACGGUCUCACC
rnacentral:lncRNA from 1 species